rnacentral:rRNA from 1 species
AUGGCGUCGCCGCCGCCGCCGCUGGUCUCCAUCCCCAUCCCCGACGACCUCCUGGAGGAGAUCUUCCUCCGCCUGCCCACCCCGGACGCGGUCGCCCGCGCCUCCGCCGCCUGCACCUCCUUCCGUCGCGUCAUCAAAGGCCGCGCCUUCCGCCGCCGCUUCCGCGCGCUCCACCGGCCUCCCCUCCUCGGCUUCAUGGACGCGGCCGGAUUCCACCCCGCCCAGGCGCCGCACCCCUCCGCUCCGCUCGCCGGCACCCUCGCCCCCUGCGCCGCCGAUUUCUCCUUCAUCCCGGCCGUCGUUUCUUCUGCCUCCUACACCCCGCGGGGCGUCCAAGCCGACGGGGAAGGCCCCCGCUGGCGGCCCCGCGUCGUCCGCGACGGCCGCGUCCUCCUCGAUUGGGUCUCCCUCCACCCACGCGCCAUGCGCAUAUGCUGCUACAUGGAAGACGGCUACGAAGUAAGCAUCCUCAUGGAUUUCGGUGAGCUCGCCCCGCGUGACCGCCCCACCUGGACCGAACGGGAGCGGUGCAACGCCGCCGAGUUCCACCUCGCCGUCUGUGACCCCCUGUCCAGCAGAUACGUGCUGCUUCCAACCAUACCCGAGGAGCUCGCCGUCCAGCCGCAAGAUUACCUUCGGGAAUUCGAGCCUGUGCUCGCUCCCAACACCAGCGACGACGGCGAGGAGGAACACUUCAAGGUGAUAUGCAUAGCAAAAUACCACACAAAGCUCGUCCUCUUUGUCUUCCCGUCCACAACUAUGCAAUGGUCUAUAGUGGAGUGUCCUAUUUUCCCUUCUUUGAAACACAUGUCCUGUUUUGACUGCGUGCACGGAUGCUUCUACUGGACAGAGCCUUAUGACAGGAGUGACCAUUUAAUGGUGUUGGACACACGCACUUUGAGGUUUUCCACUGUCGACCUUCUCACAGGUUACCAUGUGGAGCUCAGAGAUCUGCCUGACCAGAGCUUUGAUCGUCGGCGCCCAAAUGCUGUUGUUUUGGGCAGAGAAGGAACCCUUGAGAUGUUUUCUCUUGUCCGUCAACACGGAUCGUUUGCCCUCUAUCAUACCUCUCUGCAGAAUAAUUCGCAGGAAUGGAAGCUUGAGAAGGUCAUACCGCUGCCUUGGCAGUAUCAUGACUAUUCCAUUUCCACAGUGGGUGCAGCUGAGGGAUUCUUGUUCUUCCGAGGCACUCUAGAAGGGAUUCCUGAUGAGAAUGUCAACGUGGAUUGCUACUCCAUGGAGGUCAAGACAUAUGGAAUUACCAAAGUCUGUACAAAGACGGAGAAGUACUUCAACCGCACAUGUACCCUCCCAUACUUUAGCUUCUCACCGCUGUUAUCGGAACCAACUAUCUGA